AUUGAACGCUGGCGGCAGGCCUAACACAUGCAAGUCGAGCGGAUGAAGGGAGCUUGCUCCUGGAUUCAGCGGCGGACGGGUGAGUAAUGCCUAGGAAUCUGCCUGGUAGUGGGGGAUAACGUCCGGAAACGGGCGCUAAUACCGCAUACGUCCUGAGGGAGAAAGUGGGGGAUCUUCGGACCUCACGCUAUCAGAUGAGCCUAGGUCGGAUUAGCUAGUUGGUGGGGUAAAGGCCUACCAAGGCGACGAUCCGUAACUGGUCUGAGAGGAUGAUCAGUCACACUGGAACUGAGACACGGUCCAGACUCCUACGGGAGGCAGCAGUGGGGAAUAUUGGACAAUGGGCGAAAGCCUGAUCCAGCCAUGCCGCGUGUGUGAAGAAGGUCUUCGGAUUGUAAAGCACUUUAAGUUGGGAGGAAGGGCAGUAAGUUAAGAUCUUGCUGUUUUGACGGUACCAACAGAAUAAGCACCGGCUAACUUCGUG
rnacentral:rRNA from 1 species